CUUUUUUUGUUAAAAAAACAGAGAAAGCUCUUAGCUUUUCUCUCUCGGUCCUCCACCUGGCCUAGGGUUUUGGCCAUAGCCGCCGCCACCUCCAUGGCCUAUGGCCGGAGUUGCGCGAGGGGUUACCUUUGGCCUUCGUUUUAAACCCUUUUGAAGGCCGAACCACAUGAACCCGAGAGUUAAAAAAACUUUGAACCCGCCUUAUCAAGGCCGAUAUCGGCGACGGAGGGACCUCCGACGAAGCGGCCGAGGGGUAUUUCAGGUACUUGAAGACGGACUACAGAGGCAGAGAGUAAGGGGCAAAUGGGACGUGAUGAACGGCGGUGGUAGGUGGCGGCGCCAGAAGGUCAAGGGUCUGAAUACCCUAUGCGCGGCACUGUAGCGCUAGGGUUUGACUUGUUUGGUUUGAUACUUUGGGCCAUUGGGGUUUGGAUAUUGGGCCUCGGGUUGUUGGGCUUUUGGGUAGUUCGGUUUAAAUGUUGGGUUAGGGCUUUAUUGGGCUUAGGGAUUUUUUUGUUUUUAAAUCUGUUUAUGUUUUGUGUUUGGUGUUUAAAGCCCGGGUAAAAUUGGGCCCGUACAAGAUUAUUUGUGGAAUAAAAAUAUUUAUUGAAAAUAUACCAAA